rnacentral:rRNA from 1 species
UACGUAGGGUGCGAGCGUUGUCCGGAAUUAUUGGGCGUAAAGGGCUCGUAGGCGGUCUGUUGCGUCAGGAGUGAAAACUCGGGGCUUAACCCCGAGCCUGCUUCUGAUACGGGCAGACUAGAGGUAUGCAGGGGAGAACGGAAUUCCUGGUGUAGCGGUGAAAUGCGCAGAUAUCAGGAGGAACACCGGUGGCGAAGGCGAGUCCCUGGACAACUCCUGACACUGAGGCACGAAAGCUAGGGGAGCAAACAGG